GCCUCUGUGGAGUAGUGGUAGCACGCGCCCCCUUUCUGGGUGGAACGCGGGUUCAACUCCCGCCUGAGGUCA